rnacentral:rRNA from 1 species
CGGGACUUGUGUUCUGCAAGUGAAGGCCAAAAACAUGGGAGCAGAAGAAACAAUGACCAUUGGACAUCUGAAGAGGUGAAAGAACUAGUGGAUGGCGUAUCUGUAUAUGGGGUUGGACCAUGGACUAAGUUGAAGAAUGAAAGGUUUCCAAUAUCAGUUCGAUCAGCGGUGCAUCUUAAGGAUAAGUGGAGAAACCUAGUGAAAGCCUUCACAGGAAAUGUGAAAAGAAGGAUCAAGCCUCGUCUAGAUAAGGAUUGCGUCGAAAAGAUUAAGAGGCUAGCAGCUGAUUACCCUCGAAAAUGA